UGGAAGGGCUCUCUUGUGGGUGUGACAGAGGCAGAACAUAGAAAUGAGAGAUUUCUAGAAGGGAGGGUGAGCAAGCAGGAAGGCAAGAGAAAUGUCCACUUCCUUCGACCUCAUUCAAAGUGGCCCUGGCACCGACAACUUGGGGCUUUAGAUCCCUGCGAAUUGGGCCCUGAGGGCUGAGACUAAGAGGAGUUAGUGACUGGCCCACGUCUGGGGAACUCGGACAGGGGAAUCCGGGUGCCCACAGAGGAAAAGACCUUCUUCCUUCCAUUGAGGAGACUUCCACCAGUCAGCUGGUCAAGCAGUGUGUGGGGCUUGUGAUUUUCUGCUCCUCGUGCUCUUUCCUCAGCAGUUAAACCUGGCCACCACAGCCUCAUUCCUUCGAGGCCACUGCAGCAGCCUCCACACUAGCCCCUGUUCUGGCCAGUCCCCCAACCACACUGCUGUGAACAGUAUUCUCCAAAAGGGAAUGUGAUGGUGUCACUCUUGAAGCCUCCUGGUGACCUGCAGGUCUGCGUGGAAGCUCAGCCCUGCCUUGGCUUGGAGCCUCUGAGUGCUGGUCCUGCCCAGCCCCCUGCCCAGCCUCCUGCCCAGGCCCCUGCCCUGGUCUUUCCUAUUCACCCCCCACUACAUGCCCAUAACGCACGACUGAUGGUGCUCUCAGUCGUGUCCGACUCUGCGACCCCAUGGACGGUAGCCUGCCAGGCUCCUCUGCCCGUGGCAUUUUCCAGUGAUUGCCGGGCAGGCCAGAGACUGCAGUCACCUGAUCUCCAGUGUCACCACUGAACAGAGCCCAGAGCCACCAGAAUAAGGCCCGGUUCUGACUGUUGCCCUGAAAACAAUAGGAGGAUGGAGUAUAAAGAGAGAGAGCUUUUGCUUUUUUUUUUUUUUUAACUUUCAUUGUGUCACUGAACUUUAUUACCAGUGUCAUCAUUUCUGCCUACAUCUGCUGAGAAAAGGAGAAACUGACAUUUUCUGA
ensembl:lncRNA